UGCCAAAGGAGAUUUGCUCGG
rnacentral:miRNA from 3 species